rnacentral:rRNA from 1 species
AGUGAACGCUGGCGGUAGGCCUAACACAUGCAAGUCGAACGGCAGCACAGUAAGAGCUUGCUCUUACGGGUGGCGAGUGGCGGACGGGUGAGGAAUACAUCGGAAUCUACUUUUUCGUGGGGGAUAACGUAGGGAAACUUACGCUAAUACCGCAUACGACCUACGGGUGAAAGCAGGGGAUCUUCGGACCUUGCGCGAUUGAAUGAGCCGAUGUCGGAUUAGCUAGUUGGCAGGGUAAAGGCCCACCAAGGCGACGAUCCGUAGCUGGUCUGAGAGGAUGAUCAGCGACACUGGAACUGAGACACGGUCCAGACUCCUACGGGAGGCAGCAGUGGGGAAUAUUGGACAGCGGGCGGGAGCCUGAUACAGCCAGACCGCGUGGGUGAAGAAGGCGUUCGGGUUGUAAAGCCCUUUUGUGGGGAAAGAAAAGCAGCAGGUUAAUACCACGCUGUUGUGACGGUACCCAAAGAAUAAGCACCGGCUAACUUCGUG